rnacentral:rRNA from 1 species
UACAGAGGGUGCAAGCGUUGUUCGGAAUUAUUGGGCGUAAGGGCAGGUAGGUUGUCCUAUAAGACUUCUGUGAAAUCCCUGGGCUUAACCCAGGAAGUGCGGAGGUGACUGUAGGACUAGAGUGCUGGAGGGGUUCGUGGAAUACCCGGUGUAGCGGUGAAAUGCGUAGAUAUCGGAAGGAACAUCAGUGGCGAAAGCGGCUUCCUGGACCAGUACCGACGUUCAGGCACGAAAGCGUGGGGAGCAAACAGG